UACAGAGGGUGCAAGCGUUGUUCGGAAUUACUGGGCGUAAAGCGCGUGUAGGCUGCAAUGUAAGUCGGAUGUGAAAGCCCUUGGCUUAACCAAGGAAGUGCAUCCGAUACUGCAUCGCUUGAGUGUCGGAGGGGAUGGCGGAAUUCCCGGUGUAGAGGUGAAAUUCGUAGAUAUCGGGAGGAACACCUGUGGCGAAGGCGGCCAUCUGGACGAUAACUGACGCUGAGACGCGAAAGCGUGGGUAGCAAAC
rnacentral:rRNA from 1 species